AGCUUCAGUCAAAGGGAUGACUUCAGUCCCUUUCUUAACUAAUCCUGUCACUGUAAAAUCCUACAGUCAUUCUUCCAGCAUAAAGGGAAAACGGACUCACUAGGAGGACCUAGACUCUUUCAGCUCGAACUGUUAACCAAUGGUGGAAAUGCAAGAAUGCUGAAGUUGUGCCUUCAGAGCCAAUAGAGUGGAUUUGUGUGUCCCACAUGACUGUGUUUCCCCUGUCUUUCACAUGGGCAGUAUUUAGUUCAAUUCAGAACUGCAGAUAGUAUAGCAUGCAGAGCAGCAAUGGGAUGUCUGAGCACAAGUAGCUGACUUCCAGGCGACUUCAGGAAGCACAUUUGUACAUUUCUCCUGAAUUAUGUGGAAUUCUGCACCCUUGACAUUCUGCAACCCUCCUUGUCCCUGCAGAAGGAGACAGCGACCUGCACAGCACAACAAAACUUCAAAUCACCACAGAGCUACAGACCACCAAUGAAGAGAGCUGAGGGCAAUUUGACCAACAUCAUCUCUGUCGGUUCCCCAGAAGUCGAUGAAACACAUAAUCGGGUCUCCAAGACCACAAGACUCAGAAGAUCACUGUGGAAGAAAGACACUGGGCCAACCCAUUCUGUUGAUAUGACUGACACAAAGUACAGCCCUGUCUGGUAUUCUUUCCACCCUGAAGGAGUCUCACAUCAGAACAGAAGAUUAGACUUCUACCGACUCUGAGAGACGAGGAAUAGAGCCAGCAGCAAUAUUUAGCAGAGUGACUGAUUUCUGGCACCAUCUAGCUUCUCUGCAACAGGAAUCUGGCAGCCUGGUAGGUGCUUUUCAAAGACACUGAUUGAAUAAUUGAUACUAGUGCUAUACAAAUGCUCAAGACAGCACAAGAAAAAAUAAGAAAUAAAGUAGUUUUGGGACUUAAGAUCUACUCUUUUUUUUUUCUCCGAAUAAAGAUCGUGAGGUAAAAAUCCUGGGCAGAAUAACAAAGCCAAGAGAAUGCAGACUCUGUUCAUCAUUCAGCUUCUGACUAUGCAACUCUGCCAAAUAUCUAUAACAUAUAUGAAAGUAUUAAACAAAAAGAAGCCAUAAGAUUCUUAAUUGUUCAUUUUCAUGAGAUAUGGUAUAAUCUGAAAAGAACAGAUUUGUUUUGACCAGUGGAACUAUUCCUAAUUCCACUCAGGAACUGCAAAAUUCCAACGAUUAUUUGUAACUAUAAGACAGUGGAUUUAUAUUCAUUCAACUGCACUUAAGGGGUUUUGAACACUAAAAACUUCAAUCCCCACCACCAGCUCUGUACAGAGAACUGCUGACCAUUUGAGAAAAACAGACAUUUUGUGCUCAACAUCAAAAUUCAUUAACUGAUGAGAUACACAGCCUUUGGAGGCCUGUGCUCUUAAAAUUUUGCAGAAAAACAUUUACUUGUCAGCAUGAGGACAUGUUUACAGACUCACACGAUGGUAAACUAGAAAGGAAGACAAAGUUGGUUUAUAUCCUCAGUAGAGGAGGAAAUGGCAGAGAAAAAGAAGGAAAAAGAAAAAAUCUUUCUGGACUUCACCAGACCAGCAAGCACAGUCUGUCCAAUUCAGAACUUUUCUCCAAUUCCCACAGUGUAACUUCCCUUCCAUUUGCCUGAAAUCACCAGCAAUGUGCUUUAGGAGCUAAUCCCGACACGUUUGGCUUACUCGGCAGGGGCCCAAUGAAAGCAAGGAUUCUCGAAUGCAUUACAAGGCCAACCCACUUUCUCACUUCGUCUUUUCAACUGCAUGUGACCACAGCUACCGAAAAUAGAAAAUUAGCUACAUUUACACACAAGUAAUACAUAGGAGUCUCCCAGAUGGAAAAAAUGGAACAUAGUUACAUGCUUUUUCCUAUAAUCCACUUAAAGUAAUAUUUCUCUCCCUCAGGGUCAUAACAUAUUCAGUUAAGGCAGUUUCUCAGUAAAGAGGUCUAGGGCUAUUCUGCUGUCGAUUCAUUAAUGAUCAGCUCUGGUUUUGUGAUAUCAUUGAAUAACUGAAGUGUAAAUGCAAGAGAGGCAUAGCUGUCUAUGUGUUUUAAUGUAUUUCAAAGGUUUUUUGUUUAAAGAAGAGUCUUAUGUUCUCUUCUUCCUAGAUAUGCAGGUUUUUUAGACUCCACAUUUUCCAAUACUUUUGAUUAUACAAGACUAAGAAGGACCAUAUAUUUUUUGUGACAUAGGGACAUGUGAUAACUGAAGAUUAAUAUGCCAGUAUUUGGUGCGACAUGAAUAAGAGUAUCCAAGUGGAAAGGAAUUUCAAGAUUUAGAUCUAAGAACUCAAAUGCACCCAAUCAGAACCACAGGCAGAAGUUGAAACCAAAAUUUGAAACUACCCUCAAAGUCAGCACUCGUUAUUUGAAGACACUUUAUACUCACUGAACAGUUACAGAUCAAAAUAAAAGAGCAAGCAAAGCAAAAUGAGAUAAUGAGAGCAAAGCAGAGAACAUGCUCAUGGAGGGGAAAGGGAAAUUGAGACAUCUGUCAUUAACAUCUGACUUGGAUGUCUCUUAAUGGGUUUAUAUUGAGUUCUAUGUUAUUCAACUGUGAUUACUACAAAGAAUGAGUUUUUACAUCUCAGAAUAUUUUGGGUCGAAAGGGACCCACAAGGAUUAUCAAGUCCCACUUUAGCGAACAACCCAUAGGGGAAUGAACCCACAGCUUUGGUGUUAGCACCGCACUCUCACCAUGUCUAGAACUGAAGUAUCUUGGGCUAUUGCACUCUGUUCACCUGAGAGACAAACUGCAAGCAAUUUAACAGAUUUCUGUGAUAUUCUUACACUCAGAUUGCAAUCUUCAGUGAUACACAAAAGAAAAGCACUGGGAUUUUCACAAACAAUUCCCCUGAGUGUCAAGGAAGGAGAAUUUUUAAAUCCCUUGGUCCUUUUGAAAUUCUCUGCAUGCAAUUUCAGGGCAAUGUAUUGUUUUAAAAACCCUGGUAGGGAAUUCUCUAGAAAGCAAAAAGUUAGAUUUCCUGAUAUGCACAUAUGCAAACCUCUGGGUCCUGCAUUCUCACAUACCAAUAGGUUGCAAAUUUAGCAAAAAAAAAAAAAAAAAAAAAAGAAAAAAAAAAACCAAAAAAAAAAACCACAAAAAAACCACUCCAAAACCAAACCAAACCCAUAGCCACCAGAAUGUACUAUAUUUGUGUAAAUAUUUUCAGAAGACACAUUAUGCAGGUAAUCUAGUAUAAUCAUAAAGAGCUGAAUGAGAUUCUAAUCCUGACAUUAAAGUACCCAAAAUAGCUGCUUAAAGAUGGAAAAGAAGGCAAAGAACAGAGGAGACGGUUAAAGUGCUAAAAGCAUUAUAGGAACCUUUAUAUUUUAUAUUCAGGUGGAGUUUGUCAUGAGCAGCCCACUCCCUUUUGGCGCUGAAUAAUUCCCAGCAUUUUCAUAUCACAUCUCAGAUACAUAUAUCAAAGACAACUUUCUAAUCUUGCAAGUGUGCUUAGAGAAAAGGAAGGAGAGCAAAAAGUACCAAGAAACUCCCCCAUUCUCCCUUGUCCUCAUCUUACUAGCCAAUACUACUUCUUUAUCAAAUAGCUGAAGAAUUCUCCUCCUAGACAGAGGAGAAGACUGAAAGAAGGUAACUGAUUUGUAUGUGCAUCCUAUCAUGCAUUUAUUUUAUUAUUUUAUUAAGAUCAAUUAUAUAUAUAUUUCUCCAAUGACGGGCAAAAUUGCAGUUCUAGACAAAAAUGUGUCUAGAAUCUGCUACUUUUAUUGGCUUGUUAAAUGAAUUUUACAUUAGAGAAGAAUCUAGAUCUCAGAUAUCAUUUGUCUUCAAAUUCUUCCCAGUUUUUACCACAGAAGUGUGGUGAAUCACUAAGUGUUUGAGCUGUUUGUUCUCCUUCCUCACCUCAUUGUGUUUGACAUUAGAUUAGCAGCGCUGUGAACACCAUGUGACAAUAAUAUUGAGCUCCAGACAGGGACCCUCAUGUGCCAAAAAAAAAAUCUACAUUUCACAACAAGAAAAUUAAGUUUCAGAAACAUGAGACCGGUUGUACCUUUCUUUGCCCAUGUUCUAUUCUUCCUUCCAUCCUAUUCAUUAAUUUAUUUCUUCCUCAGUCUUGUACUCCAUCUCCCAAGCCUUCAGUGACAGCUUUUGGAACCUUAAACCAGCCUCAAUCAAUAGGUUGAGGUCAGAUCCAUGGGAUCAGAAAGAUCAGAACACAUUUAUCCAAAGUCCAAAUGCAGAGCCUUAUUCAGACAGCUAUGCUGCCUGCUAUUUAUUGGGUGGAAUUGAAAACAAAAGUUAUAUUAAAGACAGCAGGAUCAUUAUUUCUCCUUUCUGCCCCACCUCCUCAAGUGCCUGAGGUCAUUUUCCACAACAAAAAUGAAAGCCCUUCUUGAAACUGUUUUUGUGCUAAACAGCAGUGGUUAAUUUCUUGCAACUAAUUAGUUAUUCAAGUGAAAGUAUAAUGAUCCUCCAACAUGAUUGAAAGUGCUUCAACUGAGUUUCCUGCUAACAGCAUACUUCUAGAAAAGAUGCAAUAAAUCAGCAGGGUUAUGGAAAUCUUUAAACAAAAGCAAGUCUAUGACAGGAACCCAUUAAAGAUACAGCCAUGUAAUAUUUAUGCACCUAGCUGACUCGUGCUUUUAACCCAGCACUUUCAGCUAUAGCUUUUUAGCGCCUGGGUCGUAUUCAGCAAGAAUGAAAUUUAUCCUAUCUGCUAAGAGCCAGCACAAUGUCUCUGCUUUAGGUGUUCAGAGUAUAGGGUUUAAGGGAUGGAACUCCCCUCCAAAUGGAAUUUCAUCCAGAUAUUUCUAAAUAAAAAUACAAAUAGAACACCUUUGAACAGCACAGAAAAUGUAAUCUGUGAGCCUCAAGCUCCCCGAUUACCUUUAGCAAGAAAAGAGGCAGGUACUGACACAAGAAAGGUUUAUGAAUCCAGGGAAGUAUUGAUGCAGAAACAAAACUCAGACUAGCCAGUAUCACCUAUGAUUGUUCAGAUUAUGAUUUGUGACCAGGAGUGGUUACCACAAUGGUGGUAGGGGAUCUCUUGAGACUUCUACAGAAAGUCCCGACUGCGUAAAAUGCCAUCCACUUACUCCUAAAUCUACUAAUUCAUCUCAGAGUUUGUAUUUAAAUCUGUUGGGUACUGCAGAAAAGCAAGACCCUGUGGAGGAAAAACGCAUUUUGAUAAUAUUUGAUAAUAUUUCACUCAUUUACUUCAUUGCCAAUCUCCCAGUCAGUCUUCCCACAGUUUUAAAAGACAGAAUUUGGAUUCACAAACCAAUUUGAGUUGAGGACUCAAAUACAAUUUCCUGGCCUACCUUUCCUUGCUGCAGCAAAAGGCUGCAAAAAAGGGAAACCUUGCUGCUGUGAGGUUGAAAAAGGGAGACUUCAGGGAAAGAUGUAGGAACUGCAGUUUACUUGGGACUCUGGGAGGAGGGAAUUGAAGGACUGAGAAAAGGAAACCAGACAUCACUCCUCCUUCCCACUAAAAUCAACUUCGUCUUCACUAUGGGUUUUUUGGGCCAAUGACCACUUUCAACUCACACCUUCUGUUGGAAAAAUAAAUUAGGAGUCCAGCUUUAUUUUGUCAAUAGAAAGUUUAAAGUGGUCACUGGAGCAAAAAGCUUUUCAAAGGGUAUCUGAGCUCAGCAAGGACAAGAAGGAGGAUGUUGAGAAAGCCACAAAAACACUGGCAGAUUACAAACCAUUAAAGGCUAUGCCAUUUUUCAAUAAUAAAGAUAAGGCCUUUAGACCAGUUCUGGUAAUUUGUAUCUAUUUAUUUCUUUAGAAGGAUAUGCGUCUCUUUUAAAAGUCUCUGUGAGAGCAGUAAAAGGUAUUUUGCGUUUGUGUGUGUUGGUCUUGAUAAAAAAAGAGCCACCAGAAAACAGUAAACUAACUAGGCAUUUGCUCCCUGAAUACAUGGGAUUAUGCUUCGCAUUUGUGCUGUAAAUCAUUGGAUCCUGUGCAAGUAAUUGUACUGCAAUGGGUUGUGCUAUGCUAAAUAUUUAAACUGUGUGCCCAGUCCUUCAAAGUCUGAGCUUAUUCUGUGUUCAGAGCUUUUUAAAGUUGAGUCAAUAGCAUAUUUGUUUUGAAUGGCUGCUCCUAGAUAACAGUAACAAAAAUCCAAAACUUGUUUACAUCAUUUAACAUGCCUAAGAGCUUAGCCUGAGACAUUAAAAAAGCCACACAACAAGCAAGCAGAAAAAUGCAAUCCUUUAGAGUAGUCUCUACUGGUGAAAAGAAGUAACACCAUCAAAAAGCAAAACGAGUGUUUUGCCAACUCUGGACCAAGAAUUGCUUUGUUUUUUAAACUGGAGCAAUGACUGGCAUAAAAAGACUUCAAGGAAUUUCCUCUUCUCCCUGAAGAUAGUCAUGAGCCUUUCUACUGCCCCAGACUUAGUAUUGUAGUGAUUGCAAGGAUAGGGGCCUCUCAUGGGUCCUAAGCAGAAGCCCUUGUUUAUGAGAGUGUGCAAAAUGUGGAAAAGAGUCAAAACAAAGCAAAUCAGGCAAUUCCAUCAAUGCUGGGAAAACUGUUCCCAUCUGAGCAGUACCUUCAGCUCUAAGGCUCUAAUACCAGCUGUGUAGCAAAUACCCCUGGCCUAUUUUCCUAACUUGAAUUGCUACCUUAAGAAAAAGACUUCACCAACACGUACACACAGACACUCAUGGAGUGUUCUACACAUUCUCAAAUUGCAUUUGUGGUCUAAAUUCUGUAAAGUAAGGUGAUAUUUUUGGGAACAAAGAUGAAGCAUAAUUUCUCAUCUGUUUCAAAUUACACAUGAAGAAUACCAAGGAUGUUAGUAAGAAAUAGAUUAGCAUGCAGAAAUUUCACAAAGGAAAGAAAUGCAGACAUGCCAAAAUACAACUGCAGCAAAGGAAAUAAUGCAACCAGGAAAUGAUUUACCAUCCACACAUUUUUAGAAUCACAGUUCUAAUUGUUAGAACCCAGUGCAGAGUAGUAGACCCAGUAUUUGAAAAAACAAGCCUUUCAUAUCUCUAUGCUACCUCGAGAGCUCCUGAUACCUAAUCUGGAAGCAGACAAAACUCAAAAAGGUGCCUCUUUUCCAGUGAAGACGUGACUUCCCCUCCAAGAGCCUGGGGCACUGUGUCUCAAAUGCUAAUAGCUUGAGUUGUGUGCAAUAGCCCUAUAUUGUUUAUAUAGCACUUCACAUGUUCAAAGCACUAUGAGAUAUCAGCCAUCACUACACUUUUAUGAGGCUGUAAGUAUUACCCACUAAACAUCAGGGUUCAAAUGACUUGCUCUUGAUCAAAAGAAACUUUGUGCAGCAGGACCAUAAUUAUUUGAAUUUGGUAAUUCUCGCAGACCAUUCCUAUGGCAACACAGAAUGAAGAGGGGGAUGGGAUAUUAAAGCCAAUUGCUAUCGCACUCCGCGCUGGCAGCGAGAUGGACACAUGGAGGAUCUCUUGAGCAAACCUACACUCACAGCACCUUUUAUAGCACAUUCUAGAAAAUUAUUUUUAAAAUCAGAAGCAAAAAUUAAACAAAAGGUUUUAAAAGCCCAGAAGCAUGUUUUUCUAAAUGUAUCUAUUUCACAUAUUCACUGUGAAGAACAUAGAAGACAACAUGCAAACUGCACUGAAGUACUCCAGAAAUCCUAAAAGGGGGUUCCGAUUUCAUUCUGAAGCAGUCUUGGAGUUUUUAUACCAAGAUUAGUAGGCAACUUAAAAGCAAGUCCAUUUUCUGCAGAAAAAGAACUAAAGUCUUGCGUCCUAUGGCUGACUACGGUAGGACUCAACUUUUAAAUAGAAUGUUUUUGCUCUCCAUUUUUAUACAUAUGUUCUUCCUAUGAAAAUUACACUAUGCUGACAUUUACAUUGCUAGUCUCAAAGUAUCAAGUCUCUGUUCCUGAAAAAGAAUACAAACACAAAGGCGAUGUUGAAAAACAACCAAUGUACCCACAGUAUAUAUGACAACCAAUAAAGGCUUGACAUAAAUGCUAAACAGGAUAGAUGCUGAAGAGUCUUCUCCUUACAACUGAAAGCACUUUAUCCAAAAAUCCUAACACUGAGAUUGAAGACAAAAUAAGAAAACUCUUAUCCUCUGCUUUUCCAUCCUGUGCCCAUCCUAUCCUACAAUAUUGUCUUUCCCACCUCUUACACGGCCCUGGUUUCCACACACACCAUAUGUUUUCAGAGCACAGCCUCACAGUUAUUGGCCUUAGAACCUUGCCUGCAGGAUCACGUGGGAAAUAGAUCAUACUACUAAGACAACAAUUUAGACCACUACACAGAGUCCAGAUUCAUCAAAUAAGAAAAGGGUGCCUGUUUAAAGCUAUCACAGGAAGGGGGAGGGAAAGAAAUUCUCUUCAAAGGCAGCAAUGAGUGCAGAGAGAAUUACUAACUGAACCUUUUGUGUUUUAGCCAGGUUGAUCAUGUUGCUGUGAAUAUUUACCCUCUAUCUUACAACUUUCACUAGGCAUUUUUCAGGUACAGGCUACACAGAACCCUAUGCCAGACUAUGCUUGCAAUUUCUACUGUUUUGAUUAAUAUUGCCUGAAAAGUUAAAUUACUGAAAUAUUUCCUAAAAUAUUAAAGUUUAAGUAUAACAUCAAUAGGUGAGCAUUACUUCAUGGCUAAUAAUGUAAGAACCAGUUACCAUACUCCAUCUACUGAUCUAAAGAACAGAUGUUUGCAUAUGAUUUAUGGACACUGCAAUAUGUGCAUAUCUUCCAUAAAUAGUAAUGUGUUCCAGUAACAAAGAGUAGAGAAUUGUGAUCCAUAAGACUGGGAAGUUGCAGGCAGUAUUAGAAUUUAUUUACCAAUUUCUUGGCUUUAAAUAAAAAGCAACUCUCAUAGAGCCAGGGCCUGAAUCCCGUAUGCUGGAAAAGUGCUUACAAUGUCAAAAAGGACUAACAACAUGGAGUAAUAAAUUGCAGUCGGGCUCAAAGAGGCAGAUAUAAAAGUCCAUUUAGAACAUGAGUGUAACUAUGAUUUGUUAAGUAAGAGUAACAAUUUAUAUUGAUUGAGAAUAAUUCUAAACAGUAAGCAAAAAGCCAAUAUUACUGUGUGUACUUUCACAUUAAACAUGGGCUUGGAAGUUUCUUUAGUAUCAAGAUUUAACAAAAUAUUAAUCAGGUAAAAUUCUAAUAGGCAAAGCAUAGUUUUGAGCUCUGCAAUUAAAUUAUUUCUGGAAGUGCAAUCAAAUAUUUGAUUGAACUAAUAUCACUGCUGCUUCUCACAUUUGUUCUGUUCCUAAAUUAGCUUGGCUAAUCAGUAUCCCACCUCAUAGCCUGUGUUGUAAACAUGUAAUAUUAGCUGAUGGGUUUCAUUUCAAGAGCACAGUCAAUUUUUGGACAGCAAACUUACUCAAAGACUUGGUCAAAGCCUACAAACACACAAAGCAGCAUGUUUGGAGAUGUCACAGUUUCUGGGCCAUCAGAACUCUGAUAAGACUGGGUGAACUUCAGAUCACUCUGUGAUGGCUAUGCAUGUCAAACUAGUUUUGAUUUAGUUUAAAAACCAGUUUUGUGGACAAUAUUUCACCUCAAAGUGUUUUCAGUUUUUCCACCCUCUUAAUCUAUGAGCAAGAACCAGGAACGUACAAAAAAGCAGCCUUGUAGAAUGCAGAAUUUAAACACGGCAAUCACAAUUUUUGCUCCUCUCUCAGGCUGGCAUGCACUAGUGCUUCAGGAUGUUAUGCAGCUGCUGCUCUUCCCCAGAGAUGGCUGUACUCCAGUAAAUGGUGAAAUACUCCCUCAAACUUUUUUUUUUCCCCCAACAGAGGUUAACAGAGAUGUUUCCAUAGGUCUAAGGCAACGUGAAAACAUGGUGAUUGUGUGGUUGGAUUUCUUGAAAAACAUUAGCCUUAGAUUUACUGCAUCAGUAAUUAGGAGCUGAUGCUACACUCCAAGACACUGCAGAAACAACUGCAGUUAGUGUCUGUAGAACAGUGAGAGUCUUAGAUUACAGUGAUUGGUAUUUGAUUCUGUUCUUGCAGGUUUUUUACAUCACAGAAGAAACAAAUACUUUCCAUUUUGUCCUCUUGAUAGCUGCUCAGAUUUUUUACUUUCAGCAUAAAACUCAAAGUCAUCUAAGAACAAAUUGAAUUUCUAAUAACUACAGUCAACUGGAUUUAAUUCCUUUCAGUGGAAGCACAGCAGUGUCAAUACUUACUGGGAUUUAGUAUUACUGCUGAUUUAUUGAAAGUAAAAUGUCAAUACAACAUGAAAAUUUGUCAUUUUAGAAAGGUUUAAUAAAAAAGAUGAACACACACAAAAAAAAUGAAAAUAUAAGAACCAAUAACUGAUCAUUCUAAUUCACUUUUUUCCAGAUGAGCAUCCAGGUGUCAGCUGGUGUAAACCCAGAUGCCACUGACGUCAAUGGAGCUGUGUCAGUUUACUCUAGCUGAGAAUCUGAUCCCAAGUGUGCUACUGCCAUUUUUAGACGCUGCCACUGGAAUUCACUUUUGCAAGACAAUUUAAAAAACACAUCCACACAUUGCAUUUCUUCCUGUCCCCAAGUGUUUAACUGGAAGUCGGUUCACAGACUGUGGGAGAGGUCAAGUGGGAGGUGGAAGUAGCCAACAACUGCAUCCAUGAGAUAACUUUGCAGUAUCAGUAUGAACACUGUUCCGUUGUCUUCCUUUUAUACAAACGACUAUUUGGCUUCAAAAAGUUUUAACUCCACCUUCCGCUAACAAACAAUUCCAUGUCAGAGAAAGAAAAAUGAUGCUGUACACCACGUGAAGUGUCUACCUCAUAAAUUUGCUAACAUAGUACUUUAACUGGUACACACAGACUGUUUUAAUGCACCACUAGAAAAAGUACCUAAAGCUACAAGAGCCCCAAGGCUGAGUUCUGUGUAUUCACCUAAGUAUUUGUUCCUAAGCAAUCUCCCUGCUGUACCAGCAGCAAGACUAGUAACAGUUCUAAGGCAGCUGUUUGAAGUGGCCUGCAAGCCAGACUGCGAUCUGGCUGACAUCUUUCAUAUCUCAUUGAGCAUUUGUGUGGGCGAGAGAGGAGGAAGAAAGGAAAAGGUGGGGCAAUAAGCAGGGCAGAGUAGCACUUGACAGCUCCCCCAUUUCUGAGCAGGGAGAGGGAGCUUUUGCCUCUGUCUUACAUAAGGCAGUUGUUGACAUGAGCGCAUUGUAUAACGGCUUCCCAGUAUUAACCACUACAAUGAAGUUGGAAUGCUGGUUUUUGAUUCAACAUAGCAAGGUCAAAAUGGAAAUGUAAUUAAUUAGAACUGAAGAUGCAGCUCACAUAGUAUUGAAAUAAUUGUCUAUUUGUGCAAGCACAACAACCAUAUCUUCAAUUUAGGUCAGGCCAUCAAGAGGAGGAAAAGGACUGAAGACUGAAGAUGAGAUGCUCUAGUUCACACAAUUGCCCUCUGGAAGGACUUGCAAAGGCAGUCACUUAAAUUAAGUACAGGUCAUCAGACAAGAUAUCUAAUCUAUUCCUAAGACAGGCAGCUCUAGCAGUCCAAAUCCCUAUGGCCUUUGCAGCGACACGAUGAACUACUUCCUCAUGUACCUCUGUCAAUUCACGUUAGGUUGCAGUUUUUUUAAAGCGAUAUUUCAUGUACAUCAUGACCCUAUUGCUCAAAGCAAGGAAAGUGCUUUGGUUUAUUUAUGACCUACUAACCUUAAAUUAAAAAAAAAAAAUACAUCCAAUCUGAAUGUUCACAUAAGCCUGUAGAUCUGAAAUAAAAUUUAAAAUAAAGCUGGCAUUUGCAACAGCUAGCUAAGCCCAGUAAGGGAUUUUUUAAAAAAUGAAAACCAGAUGAAAGAAGAUGAAAGCAUAUUUACCCAGCAUAACCUGCACACAUCAGGAAUCAGGGCUGGAACCCAGAAAUAUCUUUUGUACUUGAAAGUUGCAGCCCAUUUCACAGGCUAAGUGACCAAGGAAAUACUGAGGCUUUCCAUGAUAGGGGGUGGGGAGGCAUUAAUAACAACCUGUGAAAGUAAUUCCUUCAAAGAUGUAAUCCACCCAGCCACAAGCUCUACACAGCUCCUCUCCUUCCCUUGCACCCCAUCCCAAUUGCCAGAUAUCAGCCAGGCAAGCUCCCAUACUGAAAUAUGAAGUGACAGAUGGAAACAGGGAAUAAGGGCAUAGGAAUGAAUACUGACAGAAAUGGCAUAUAGAAAACAAGCAUAUCAUAGGGCAGAUCUUAAACAUGAGCAACCCUAAACCAUAAAGUUAAUUCAUUUGGCUAGAACAAUGUUGAACAGAUGCACAUAAGACUGAGUUGGAGAGCCUUAUUCUCUCAUCACUCAUGCCAGUGUGCAGAGGUCUUCUCCUAACAUCCAUGGAAUUAAACCGUGGAAAUUUCAGUACAAAUGAAUGGAGAAAUAAAAAUAAUCACAGCUAAAGUAUUGGCAGCAAAUGUCCUGUGCUGCUGUAUUGGGAAAGAAAGGUGGGCUGCCACAUUUGAUUAAAAUGUAUUUCAUUUAGCUAUAUUCAUAAUCAAAGUGAUCCUCAUAAACAAAACACAUCUAAUCCACCAUAACAGUUGAUUCUGUUCUUGUCUAGUUCUCCAGUAGGCUAUAUUAAUGACUUUUUUUUAGCUGUAUUAAAUAGAAAAUACAGUUGAGUUAAAUGAUGCAAUAAAUACCUCUACACGCAGAGCAGCUAGUUGGAAGAAACAUUUAGGACCAAGCCCUUGUCAUAGUGUUUGUUUAGAAAAUAGGCUCAGGCAGCAAGCUGAUCAACUCCAGUCCUUUAGUGUGGGUUCCCUUAACACAAGUACAGACAAAGCUCAAACAUUUAUAAAGCCUUAUAAAUAACAACAGACGGAAGAGAGAAAGUGUAGAGGGCAUCUUUAACCAAAGGAUAAGGUAAACAAACAGCAAUUCAUGUAAGUCAAUGAAUCAGUCACAUAAUUUCAGCACACUUAAGAGUGGACCUAGCCAAGCUGAGCUUCAAGAACACCUUCAUAAGAACUCUGCUCACAAAUGAAAAUAAGGUAAAAUUUCUGGAUUACCAUGUUUUGCCUUCUUAUCCAGCCUCUAAAACUCUUCUGCAACACAAAACCUACAACCUUAAUUUUUAAUUUUUUUAAUAUUCAGGCCAAUCAAGUUGGAAAACUCAGAAAAUUAGGAAAAAGUAUUGUGUUACUGUGGACAUUUUUAAGAACAAGGACUUUACUGUGUGAUUAUCAGCUGGAUGUGCACAACAUGCUGACAAAAAAAAAUUAAAAUAAAUAUAGGUCAAGCCUUGCUAUACAGUCACCAUUUUUCCUUCUGAAAACUAUCACAACAGGUUCUGCAUGUAUGAAAAUUUGUAAGGAAAAAAGACCUUAUGUCUCUGAGAUGUUUUUUUGAAAAAUUAAGCCUUCUUAAAAGAAAAUUUCUUUUUCAUUAAUGCUAAACAAGUUUUAAUCCAAUUGAACCAUGUCAAUAGAAGAAAUUUUGCUCAAUUGAGCAAUCUCUAAUUGGCAACACUAAUUUGUAAAAUUCUUAGCCAGCUCCGUUCAUUUAUAGGACCUCAUGUUUUGUUUUACUCUGAAGUUCAGUCUUGUGAAAUAACAGACAACAUUAAUCCACUCGUGCCUGCAUCUCUAUCCUUUAUUUUUAAAGCCUGAGUAACAGAAACAUAUUUUCUUUUCAUAGAAAGAAGUCUGGGAAACUGCCAGCUCCUUGCAGAAAGACUGAAAUAUGAUCAGGAGAGAAGGGUGUUGGUGUCGGUAAGAGAAAAGUGAUUGAAGUUGCAUCAUCUGUAUAAAUAAAAUCACUGUGUGAAUUUUGAUUUCCCCCCCCUACUUUCAGACAUUUGAGGAUGCAGUCAAGUCAAUGGAGUUCUGUUGUAGUGGUUGCUUCGGUGAACAUUCAACGCUGUCGGUGAGUUUGGAAUUAAAGUGAAAACCAUCGACCGUUGAUUGUACCCUCCAGCUAACCAUACUCCUCCUUACUUCAUGCUUUCAGGCCUUAACACCGAAGAUAGCAACCUAACCAUCAUAUGAUGUUUCUCCCUCACCCUGCCAAGCUUUACAAAAAGGUCACAAUCAACAUUCAUUGCUGUCGGUGGGUUUAACUAUGUGGACAAGCUCACUGAACAAUGAAUGCAACUGUGGCCCCACAUUGUACAGUUGCCGUUGAGAGGAGCAGCAGCUCUGAAGGCAAUAGUGAGAAGCAAACACUUCUUAUAAGCUUCAGUUCUCUGGUCAGAAAAAUAGUUGGGGGUAUCAACUUUUUGCUUGCUUGGUUUUGAGUGUGUUUAAUUUAGCCGACUAGGAAAAAAACCCCACUACCUUUUUCUGUAGUAUCGUCCUCACAGGGUUUAGUACCAUGAAAAAUGUGAAAAUUCUUAUUUAGUAUGCAUGCAGAAAAAAUAACAGGAGAGAAAGGUCUGUAUAUCCACUCCUAAGGAUUCUGACAUAAGAGGAAAGAAUAUUUAAUUGCCAUUUAACUAGGCACUGCUGAAGAGUUCAAAAGUUUAUUCUUUACUUGUCAUGGCAAAUACAACUGGGAACAAAUGGGGUUUAAGAGUUAUGGAUAAAAAUGUUAUAUCAAAAAUAUUAAUUAAUUUUACAUUAAACUGAUUUUAAGAAUACGUAUACUAUUGCAUUUGCUAUUUUUAGGGAUCUGAAAGAUGACAAAGAAAUGUAUAUCCAGAAAUAAUAAUGGAAAAGCAGUUAAAUUUUAAAGUUACUGUAAACUGAGUACCUAUGUCCUGCUUUGAUUGUGAUAAGAAAAUAAAGUGUAAAUAAGCUCA